GCCACUGAAUGUUUAUGCGGUUCCCAUCCGGUGGAGCAGAUUCCUGGAUAAAUUCAGAAAUAAGCUGAGCAAGCUGCAGAUGAUCAGUUCUUCUGUCACCACCCAGUGUCACUGCAAUCAAUCAGCAUUACUAGAGGGACACAUGGGACAGUGAAGUCAUCUGUCUAAAUACCAGAGGAGAAAAGGCUGAGAGAAAAGAUGGCCAACCAUGGAGCUGUCACAUCAGAAGCAUUCCACCAAAACUGGAAAGCAGAUGCAAAAUCAUGGGGCAUGGCUCUUCUGUUGAACAACCCUGAGAGCAGACGUUAGACCCUUGCAUAAAGUUGCUGACUGCUGUUUACUGAAGAUUUGUACCAAAUGCAUCUCAUUAAAUCCAUUCCGGAUAUGGGGAGAUGGUAGGGGCCCUGUAGGCCAAAGAAGCUACACUCUGAGACAGAGAGUUCCUACAGGCAGAACCGCAGCAACAGUCAAUUUAUGGAGAAAGCUUUGGCUGGGAUUUCAGUUACACUAUUAAGAACAUAAGAACGACCAUACUGGGUCAGACCAAAGGUCCAUCCAGCCCAGUAUCCUGUCUUCCGACAGUGGCCAAUGCCGGGUAAUUCAGAGCGCCAACACGCUGAACAGUACAGUACAAGGAAGGGAGAGAGUACUUUUUAUGAUGUAGUCACUCUGUCUCUAUUUAAGGUAUGUCUACACAAGGAAGAAGGUGUGUUUUUUAAACAUGACAGAUAAC